UACGUAGGUGGCAAGCGAUACUCGGAAUCACUAGGCGUAAAGCGCAGGUAGGCGGUUUGAUAAGUCUUUUGUGAAAGCUCCCGGCUUAACUGGGAGAGGUCAAGGGAAACUGUCAGGCUAGAGUUUGGUAGGGGAUACUGGAAUUCCUGGUGUAGCGGUGAAAUGCGUAGAUAUCAGGAGGAAUACCUAUGGCGAAAGCAGGUAUCUGGGCCACAACUGACGCUGAGCUGCGAAAGCUAGGGGAGCAAACAGG
rnacentral:rRNA from 1 species